rnacentral:rRNA from 1 species
GACGAAGGAUGCAAGCGUUAUCCGGAUUCAUUGGGUUUAAAGGGAGCGUAGGUGGCCUUAUAAGUCAGUGGUGAAAUCUCCGGGCUUAACCCGGAAACUGCCGUUGAUACUAUAUAUCUUGAAUGCUGUGGAGGUAAGCAGAAUAUGUCAUGUAGCGGUGAAAUGCUUAGAGAUGACAUAGAAUACCUAUUGCGAAGGCAGCUUACUACGCAGAUAUUGACGCUCAUGCACGAAAGCGUGGGGAUCAAACAGG